GGAACUAGCGAGCUCAAACUUAAAACCUAAGGACUUGACGGUGUUCCAUCCCCCUAGAGGAGCCUGUUCUAUAAUCGAUUCUCCACGAUAUACCUCACCACCCCUAGAACAUUCAGCCUGUAUACCUCCGUCGCAAGCUCACCAUGUGAACGCACCCAGUAAGCUCAAGGAUUAAAAUCAAAACGUCAGGUCAAGGUGCAGCCUAUGGAAUGGAAAGAAAUGGGCUACAAUCUCUAUAUUAGAACAAACGGAAAACUGCAUGAAACACAGUUAUUGAAGGCGGAUUUAGUAGUAAAAAGAAAAUAGAGAGUUCUUUUUAACCCGGCACUGGAACGCGUACACACCGCCCGUCAUCCUCUUCAAAUAGUAUAUAUCAUGUUACUAACACAACACACACCCCCCUAGAAGAGGCAAGUCGUAACACGGUAAGCGUACUGGAAAGUGCGCUUGGAAACAAAAUGUAACUUAACGAAAGUACCUUGCUUACACCAAGAACAUGUCCGUGCAACCCAGACCAUUUUGAGCCAAAAACCUAGCCCAUUAAAAUCGUAUAAAAACAACCCCCCCCCCCAUAAAAUGAAUAAAAC
rnacentral:rRNA from 1 species